GACGAACGCUGGCGGCGUGCCUAAUACAUGCAAGUCGAACGCACUCUCGUUUAGAUUGAAGGAGCUUGCUCCUGAUUGAUAAACAUUUGAGUGAGUGGCGGACGGGUGAGUAACACGUGGGUAACCUGCCCUAAAGUGGGGGAUAACAUUUGGAAACAGAUGCUAAUACCGCAUAAAACCUAAACACCGCAUGGUGUAGGGUUGAAAGAUGGUUUCGGCUAUCACUUUAGGAUGGACCCGCGGUGCAUUAGUUAGUUGGUGAGGUAAAGGCUCACCAAGACCGUGAUGCAUAGCCGACCUGAGAGGGUAAUCGGCCACACUGGGACUGAGACACGGCCCAGACUCCUACGGGAGGCAGCAGUAGGGAAUCUUCCACAAUGGACGAAAGUCUGAUGGAGCAACGCCGCGUGAGUGAAGAAGGUUUUCGGAUCGUGAAACUCUGUUGUUGGAGAAGAAUGUAUCUGAUAGUAACUGAUCAGGUAGUGACGGUAUCCAACCAGAAAGCC
rnacentral:rRNA from 1 species